UACGUAGGGGGCAAGCGUUGUCCGGAAUCAUUGGGCGUAAAGCGCGUGUAGGCGGCUUGGCAAGUCCGGUGUGAAAGCUCGAGGCUCAACCUCGAGUCUGCAUCGGAAACUGCCUUGCUAGAGUCCGGAAGAGGAGACUGGAAUUCCUGGUGUAGCGGUGAAAUGCGCAGAUAUCAGGAAGAACACCGGUGGCGAAGGCGGGUCUCUGGGACGGUACUGACGCUGAGACGCGAAAGCGUGGGGAGCAAACAGG
rnacentral:rRNA from 1 species